CAUACGAUUUGGUAUCGAUACUGUCACAAUCGGCUGUCAUCCUUCAAAAUUUCAUUUUAUAACCAAAAAAUUUCAAUCCAUAGUAAAUAACUACAUAAUUUAUAAAAUUAAAAAAUAUAUUAAAAAUGAGCAAUACCAACGGAAAUCCUCCACGCAAAAAUUAUACUGAGAGAGAGAAAUGUUUGCUGUUGGAAAUAAUUGGAAAAUACAAGCAUAUUAUAAUUGAAAACAAAUAAUGUACCAAUGCUAUGUCCACCAACCAAAA
rnacentral:lncRNA from 1 species